CCCACCCUGGGCUCACCUGCGCUCUUGCCCGAAGAGGCGGUCCACCUCUGCACGGCCAGGACUGCGGGGACGGCCCCCGUUGCUGCCCUGGGGCCCCGGCUCCCUCUGCGCCAGCCUCCUGGGCGGGGGCAAGUCGGCCAGCACGGUGUACUCCUCCCUCUCCAGGUUGUGCCUGGUCUCUCCCGGGGGUACUGAGCCCCGGGAGCCCCCCGAGCUGCCUGGCAGAGGUGAGGGUGCCAGGAGCGCUAGGUCACUGGGCGGGUGGCGGGGCGGGGAAGAGGCUCGAGGUGCAUCCCGGUGGCCGAUGCACACCUGAGGGGGCAGCACUGGGGAGCCACGCAGAGAGUCGGUGGAGGGGGCCAGGCUCUCCGUACUGGCCCCAGGGGGAUCCUGGAAGAAGAGGGAGGGCUCGGGGGCCUGGCGCGGUGGGGACGAGAAGGGGGGCGCAUCGCGGUGCCCAAUGCACACAGGGGGAGGGAUGUGGGGGCGCUCGUGCAGAGAGUCUGUGGAGGGGACGAGGCUCUCGGUGCUGGCCCUGGGGAGAUCCUGGAACAAGAGGGAGGGCUCCGGGGCCUGGCGUGGCGGGGACGAGGCCCGCGGAGCGUCGCGGUACCCGAUACACACAGGUGGCGGGAACUGAGGAGGGUCAUGCUGGGGAGACUGGCUCUCAGCCUCUGCCGUGCCUGGGAGGAAGGGGAAGGGGUCAAACUGGGUGCGGCGAGGCGGGGAGGAAGCCCGGGGGGCGUCUCGGUGUCCGAUGCACACGGCUGGGGGCACGUAGGGCGGGUCAUGCUGGGGCGAUUCGAUCUCAGAUGCGUGGGGCUCCGGGAAGAAGGGAAAGGGGUCAUGUUGCAAAUAACGAGGCGGCGAGGAGGCUCGAGGGGCAUCGCGGUGCCCGAUGCACACCGCACAUGGCGGCUGGGAGGGCUCGGAAGAGGGCCCGGCGCGGGGAGCGGGGUGCAGCGGCAGGGAGGUCCAGGAGGCACUGUGGUGGCCUGGGUUUGGGGAGCAGGGACUGGCCCUGGGUGGUGAGUUGUGCCGGGCGGGGCCGGAGGAGGGCUGGGGCGGGUCACGCUGAGCUGGUCUGAUGGGAGGUGAGGUCUGAGACCUGUCGCCUUGGGUUGGCCGGAGGGCGACGGAUGCCCAGGGAACCUCGCUUUGCUUGGAGCCGGACGGGGACGAGGUUCGGGGGCCAUCACUCUGG
rnacentral:lncRNA from 1 species